UACAGAGGGGGCAAGCGUUGUUCGGAAUUACUGGGCGUAAAGGGCGCGUAGGCGGCCUGUUAAGUCGAACGUGAAAUCCCCGGGCUCAACCCGGGAACUGCGUCCGAUACUGGCAGGCUUGAAUCCGGGAGAGGGAUGCGGAAUUCCAGGUGUAGCGGUGAAAUGCGUAGAUAUCAGGAAGAACACCUAUGGCGAAGGCAGCACUCUGGGACGGUACUGACGCUGAGACGCGAAAGCGUGGGGAGCGAACAGG
rnacentral:rRNA from 1 species